UCCUGUGUCCAUACAGCUUGGCGAAGCUCCUUGCCAUGCUCUGUACUGGGGCCAGUGCACAGCCCCAAGGGCACUGAUGCUCCCAUAUUUGGGGCUCAGAUGAAAGAAAGAGUGGACAGGAUAUCCAGGACCCAUUUCUCACCCAUGUGUCCCUGAACACCCUCCCUGCUCAGCUCAUGGAUCAGCUCAGGUGAACAGGAGAAGUUUCCUGUAGUUGUAUCUAUUCGAGAACUACCUGUUGGAUACCUGGAUUAAGAAGAUCAAGAGGGCAGUGACACAGAGGCCGCCACCUGGUGCUAAUCACCUCCUGCCCGAGAACAUCUGUUUCAUCAAACCAUUGUCAUCUUCUGCCCUUGAUGAAUCUUCAUCCCACCUCAGGCUGCCAGAUUGUAGAAGACAUGAUAUCACACAGUGGGGAAGGUCCCAUGCCACCCUCCAGACAUAUCUGUGUCAUCAGCUCCCUCUUAGCUGGCUGGAAAUGGAAGAGAGGGAUAGGGUGGAGCCCAGAUGCCCAGCCCUAUAAAACUGGGGAACAAGGGACUUAUCAGUGGAGGGAGGAUGAGGGGAUUCCACUUCACAGGGAUCCCUCCAUGGCAUUCUGAAGUGGGUGGCAUCUGGCAUUAAUCCUGGGCAUAGAAAUGACAGGGCCUCCUCUGAAAUCAUGACCAGGUUGUGCUAAGGCCAGCAGUGGCACUGU